CUUGAAUUAUCCAAACAAAGAAGUGUGUCUCCUAACAAGUGUUGCUUGAAUUAUCCGAACAAGGAAGUGCGUCUCCUUACAAAUGGUGCUUGAAUUACCCAGACAAGGAAGUGCAUCUCCUUACAAAUGCCAAUCGAAUUACCAAACAAGGAAGUGCGUCUCCUUACAAAUGUUUCUUGAAUUAUCAAACAAAGAAGUG
rnacentral:lncRNA from 1 species